rnacentral:rRNA from 1 species
CAGCCGCCGCGGGAAUACAGAGGGUGCGAGCGUUAAUCGGAUUUACUGGGCGUAAAGCGUGCGUAGGCGGCUAAUUGAGUCGGAUGUGAAAUCCCCGAGCUUAACUUGGGAAUUGCAUUCGAUACUGGUUAGCUAGAGUGUGGGAGAGGAUGGUAGAAUUCCAGGUGUAGCGGUGAAAUGCGUAGAGAUCUGGAGGAAUACCGAUGGCGAAGGCAGCCAUCUGGCCUAACACUGACGCUGAGGUACGAAAGCAUGGGGAGCAAACAGGAUUAGAUACCCCUGUAGUCCCUGUCUCUUAUAA